rnacentral:tRNA from 1 species
GGGGAUACAGCUCAGUUGGUAGAGUGCUUGCCUUGCAUGCACAAGGACCUGGGUUCAAUCCCCAGCACCAUUA